GAUCCUCUAGACUGCAGUGCCAGCAGCCGCGGUAAUACGGAGGGUGCGAGCGUUAAUCGGAAUUACUGGGCGUAAAGCGCACGCAGGCGGUUUGUUAAGCUAGAUGUGAAAGCCCCGGGCUCAACCUGGGAUGGUCAUUUAGAACUGGCAGACUAGAGUCUUGGAGAGGGGAGUGGAAUUCCAGGUGUAGCGGUGAAAUGCGUAGAUAUCUGGAGGAACAUCAGUGGCGAAGGCGACUCCCUGGCCAAAGACUGACGCUCAUGUGCGAAAGUGUGGGUAGCGAACAGGAUUAGAUACCCUGGUAGUCCACACCGUAAACGCUGUCUACUAGCUGUGUGUGCCUUUAAGGCGUGCGUAGCGAAGCUAACGCGCUAAGUAGACCGCCUGGGGAGUACGGGCCGCAGGGUUAAAACUCAAUGAAUUGACGGGGGCCCGCACAAGCGGUGGAGCAUGUGGUUUUAUUUCGAUGCAACGCGAAAACCUUUACCUACACUUGACAUGCAGAGAAACUUUCUAGAGAUAGAUUGGUGGCCUUCGGGAACUCUGAAACCAGGGUGCUGCAUGCUUGUCGUCAGCUUCGGGUCGUGAAAUGUUGGUUAAGUCCCGCAACGAGGCGCAACCCUUUGGUCCUUAAGUUGCCAAGCCUUAAGGUUGGGCACU
rnacentral:rRNA from 1 species